rnacentral:rRNA from 1 species
GCUCUUCGGAGGNACUCGAGUGGCGAACGGGUGAGUAACACGUGGGCAAUCUGCCCUGCACUUCGGGAUAAGCCUGGGAAACUGGGUCUAAUACCGGAUAGGACCUCAAGACGCAUGUCUUCUGGUGGAAAGCUUUUGCGGUGUGGGAUGGGCCCGCGGCCUAUCAGGGCCUUGUUGGUGGGCUGUGAUGGCCUACCAAGGCGACGACGGGUAGCCGGCCUGAGAGGGUGUCCGGCCACACUGGGACUGAGAUACGGCCCAGACUCCUACGGGAGGCAGCAGUGGGGAAUAUUGCACAAUGGGCGCAAGCCUGAUGCAGCGACGCCGCGUGGGGGAUGACGGCCUUCGGGUUGUAAACCUCUUUCACCAUCGACGAAGGUCCGGGUUUUCUCGGAUUGACGGUAGGUGGAGAAGAAGCACCGGCCAACUACGUGCCAGCAGCCGCGGUAAUACGUAGGGUGCGAGCGUUGUCCGGAAUUACUGGGCGUAAAGAGCUCGUAGGUGGUUUGUCGCGUUGUUCGUGAAAUCUCACGGCUUAACUGUGAGCGUGCGGGCGAUACGGGCAGACUAGAGUACUGCAGGGGAGACUGGAAUUCCUGGUGUAGCGGUGGAAUGCGCAGAUAUCAGGAGGAACACCGGUGGCGAAGGCGGGUCUCUGGGCAGUAACUGACGCUGAGGAGCGAAAGCGUGGGGAGCGAACAGGAUUAGAUACCCUGGUAGUCCACGCCGUAAACGGUGGGUACUAGGUGUGGGUUUCCUUCCUUGGGAUCCGUGCCGUAGCUAACGCAUUAAGUACCCCGCCUGGGGAGUACGGCCGCAAGGCUAAAACUCAAAGGAAUUGACGGGGGCCCGCACAAGCGGCGGAGCAUGUGGAUUAAUUCGAUGCAACGCGAAGAACCUUACCUGGGUUUGACAUGCACAGGACGCGUCUAGAGAUAGGCGUUCCCUUGUGGCCUGUGUGCAGGUGGUGCAUGGCUGUCGUCAGCUCGUGUCGUGAGAUGUUGGGUUAAGUCCCGCAACGAGCGCAACCCUUGUCUCAUGUUGCCAGCGGGUAAUGCCGGGGACUCGUGAGAGACUGCCGGGGUCAACUCGGAGGAAGGUGGGGAUGACGUCAAGUCAUCAUGCCCCUUAUGUCCAGGGCUUCACACAUGCUACAAUGGCCGGUACAAAGGGCUGCGAUGCCGUAAGGUUAAGCGAAUCCUUUUAAAGCCGGUCUCAGUUCGGAUUGGGGUCUGCAACUCGACCCCGUGAAGUCGGAGUCGCUAGUAAUCGCAGAUCAGCAACGCUGCGGUGAAUACGUUCCCGGGCCUUGUACACACCGCCCGUCACGUCAUGAAAGUCGGUAACACCCG